AACUCGGUAGUCGAAUGGUAAAGCGUUCACCGCGGAGCCAGAGGGUCCUGGGUUCGAUUCCUAGUUGGGUUA
rnacentral:tRNA from 1 species